UCCUAACAUUCACAAUCGCAAAGUGCCUCACGUCACUUGUUACAGGACAUCGCAAGAAUAUCAGGGACAACAUUUCAUUGAAAUAACUAUACUUCACAGCUCACGCGUUUAUCCGUACAAAUACGUAUGCCCGGAGGACAUCAUCUUCGUGGGGAAGCUGCUUAUAAGUCUUUUAAGUUCUCAAACCAAAACCCCUUUAUGUGAAUCCGAUAACCCAGUCUCCGAUGCGUGCGGUCCCAACCUUUUUUAACAAGCUCGGUUUUGGACAGCCAGGCGAGCCUAAACCUGGCCUUGCAACGCCUUACAUAGGUUUUAGAAGAGAUGCUAAAGCAAACGUACUGGUAAUACGUAACUGCUCGACCCUUGAACAGCUUAAAAGGCGUCCCUAACCCUGCCGUACAAAAGGAAUCAAGAAUCACCCGGGGAACGCGUGGAGAAACCUCGGAGGAACUAAUUGAUGCAAUUUUGGGCGUAUUAGGCAGAAGUAUUAUCGAGCGUGGAAUUCCGUAUGAUAUGCGCCCUUAAAGUUACAAGCAGUCGAACUUCCCAGGAUUCCCGGAUUUCCUUUGUACCCCUGGUUGCCUUCCCCCUCCCUCACCCUCUCAACCCCUCUCUUCACCUUCACCCUCUUCCUGCAACACCUCAUCCCCACUCUCCCCACACUCCCGUCUCUCCAACCAAUAUCUCAUGACGCUCCUGCAACUGCCAUUUCCGCCGCAACCUCAUCCGCGGCUCAUCCUGGUCCCCCGCCCCGGCCCCAGCUACAACCCAUCUAGCCACACGCAGCCACUAGACGCCGUCUGCAGGUAUUUGAUGGCACCUGGUAGCUGCAUGUGGCUAGAGGGGUAAUCUGCAGGUUUCCACUCACACCACACCACAUCACAUCAUAUCGCAUCGCAUCACAUCACGCACCGGUGGUAGUGGCUGUAGCUAAGCAACUGCAGAGCAGCAGCAGUCCCGGAGCCCUGGGCCCUUCAGUCCUCUGUCUCCUUGGAUCUUCCCUGCAGUCCCUCUCCCACCGCUGGACUCCCGCCCGCGACCUGGUGCUC
rnacentral:lncRNA from 1 species